ACUAUCCUACGGGGGGCAGCAGUAGGGAAUCUUCCACAAUGGGCGAAAGCCUGAUGGAGCAACGCCGCGUGGGAGAAGAAGGUCUUCGGAUCGUAAAACCCUGUUGUUAGAGAAGAAAGUGCGUGAGAGUAACUGUUCACGUUUCGACGGUAUCUAACCAGAAAGCCACGGCUAACUACGUGCCAGCAGCCGCGGUAAUACGUAGGUGGCAAGCGUUAUCGGGAUUUAUUGGGCGUAAAGGGAACGCAGGCGGUCUUUUAAGUUUGACGUGAAAGCCUUCGGCUUAACCGGAGGAGGG
rnacentral:rRNA from 1 species